rnacentral:guide_RNA from 1 species
AACAAAUAUGCGAGAGAUCUGUACACUGUAAAUGUAAAUA